UGUUGCUGCUGCUGCUGCUGCUGAUACCUUCAUGAAUCCACUAAAUUUGAUCUAUCUUAAUAACCACCCCAUCAUGGCUUCUCCAGAUUUCUUUCGGUAUUGAGAGGAUUCAAAGCUUUAUGGUUGUCUUUUUCUUCUUUAUUUUAUUGGUGGUGUCUGUCCAUGGUCUUAAUUAUGAGAGGACAUGGGGAGUAAAAAAAAAAUCUGGUCUUUCUCCCUAACCCUUAAGUAGCUACUAGUAUGAUGCAAUAUGUCUAUGAGAGAGUGGUAGAAGAAGAAGAAAAGGUAGAUGGAAAAUGAUGAUUUGAGCUUUGGCUUGUAAUGUGUCACUAUAAUUAUGGUGUGAAAAGGAUCUAGAUGUAUUUGGUCUCUCUGCUACCGUAUUAAUAUGUAGUAAUGGUUUUCUCAUAACUGGUGCAGUGCUCAUCUUUGUUUUUAUAUAUGUUUCUAUCCCUCUACUGUACGUAGCCACUGAUAUAUGUCUGUUUAUAUUUUUUAAUAAAACAAAUAUUAAUUUGUACCAGAGAAAA
rnacentral:misc_RNA from 1 species